AGGAUCUUUUAGGUAAUGAAGUGGUUGCUAAAGAGACUUGAAACGGCACCAAAAGGAGCACUGAAAUGGCCUGCACCUCUGCCCACUACAAGCUCAAGUGAAGAACCAGAUGAUCUGGCAUGCAAUGCAAGGUAGAAGAAAGAAGAUUCAAAAAUAACUAAAAAGCAGCAGAAAGGCACCACAUCAGCCACAGCCAAACCGCUGCGCAUCCUGCCUGCCUGCACUGGACCCUGCUUGCUACCCCGCCCUCGCCAAGGCUUUCACUCUGUAGACCUGAAGCAGGGUUCUUCCGCCAAGAAUGAAUGAGCAUGCAACCAUGGGCAGGCAGUGCUGGGGACGCUGUGAGUCUGCCUGGAGAACCUGCCUGGAGCAUUCUCAACAACACACAGAAUCACAAAGAGGAAACAGCAAACAAGCACUAUGGCAUUUGGCUUCAUUGUUUCCUUCCAGUUUUGAUGCUGUCCUUUGCAACUGGGAUUGUAGAAGACGCACAUAUGUUUAUUAUAGAUGAGACCCCAGAGACCCUUUGGCUUAACUCUUGGUUUAACUUCUUGAAACUCCACUGGUAAAAUAGAGAACAGGAAAUAGAAAAAAAGAAACUGAUUUUCUGUGGCAAGAACAGAAGUGGUUCAUUUCCUUUUGGAGACUUAGAUAGGAGACUACAAGGAACUGAAACUUAGUGCCCAGCGUCCCUCGGAAAAGUGACCGCCCUCACCCUGGGGCUGUUACCAAUCAUUUUCUGUUAAUCGUCACCUGAAAUAACCAGUCAUAGGAACAGUGUAGAAUGUCAUUUGGGGCAUGUCUAGCACACUCAUGUCCCAUAAUGAAAUACAAAUGAUUUCACUGCAAUACUGGCAGGAUUCUCAGAAUAAAUCAUUUCCAUUCUCACCAUUUCAAGUCACAUAAUGUAACUGCCCUGAGCAGAUUGGGGGAGUUAACUAUUUUGGUCACCCAAGGUCUAGGCCAAUUCCCCUAGUUACCUAUGAGGAUAAAUUGCAGUUCUGACCUAAUUUAUGGCUCUUCCCUAAGACUGAGGGGCAACUACUUGCCAUGUGCCAGAAGAGUCUAGAAAGUAAAGGUGACAAGCAUACUUUUGAAGUCUUUCCAAGAAUCUCUACCUCCUUCCUGUGGACUUGACUCUGAAGUAGCCUCUUGCAAACCCAGGUGCUCAUGUGCCUUACUAAUGCUGGUUUAACCAAGCUUUUCCACCAAACUGAAUACUGAUCAAAGCUACUAUGGUUCUAGUAUUUGUACGCUUCCCAAAUUCAUGUUGAAAGUCAAUCCUAAUAGUACUAAGAGGUGGAGUCUCGGGGAUUAGCUAUGAAGGCUUCAACUUUGAGAG